AACGCGGACACGUUCCCGGCGUGGAAUCCGCGUGGUUCCGAGAACGGGAAGCGGGAAAAUGCGCGUUCGACUGUGUUUGACUGCGAACGGUUGGCGACCGAACGCGGCCAGCGUUACGGCGGAGGGCGGAACGCGGUACGGCAAGUUGCGUGCCUAAGAUUUCGGCGCGGCGUUGCCGGGUUUCCAUAGGGUUACGCGGGUAUUUGACUGUUCGACUCGGCUACGGCGGUUUACGCGGUGUGUUCCCGGCUGUUACACCGACGUUUGUGCAGCAGCUAUACGAAUCGCGCCGUGCGUCCGACGAGUUUCUGUUGUAUUCGAUUAUGCGCCGGAACACGUUACGUUCGGCUCCGCGCGGUUAAUUAUUUACGCGGAAAUCACUAUUGCGCACGCGUGGUGUAUGUUUUCUCGCCCGAAAAUGCUCACUCGUCCAAUCGAAACCGGCCGUUCGAACGUGAUUAUUUCUCCGGGGGUUGGGUGAAAAUUUCGUUUCACAGUGGUUCGCGGUUGGUUAUUAAACGAACCGUUAUAGGAUCCGUACUGUCCAAUUCGAUUCGACAACGUUUUAAACGUGACCGUUUCGAGUUCAUCGAAUCCGUUCGUGUAACGUUCUGUCGUUCGAGAAAACCAAACAAAUCGUGUACAAUAAAAUAAUAAACGGUAAUAUUUCCCGAGAAAUCGUACGGAACCGUGCGUCGCCGGUAGUAGUGGACACGUCGCGAAUCUAACCGAUUCGGCCCGCGUUCGUAAAAUACGUUUUUCUCCAACGAGAACCGAUUCGGGUACACCGAUCGUUAUUGUUCCGUUAUAUCGUAUCGAAUAUUAUUAUUUAUAUCGAAUGGUUACUGGCAAUUCGAAAUUUCGUUGGACGCGGGAUUUUCUUUUUUGCCCCCCACCC